CCGUCUGACACCAGUCAGAAUAGUUUUAAAACCAUUACAACUCUUUCAAAUUAAUAAUUAAAAUUAAAUAGCUCGGCAGCCUCUGGUGUCGCGCGCGGGCGCACGCCCCUCCUAUACAUUUCUCGCGCGGGCGCGCGAGUGCAAGUUUUGGUCCAGCCGUGUGGUGGCGCAGGCACGCAUGUGUUGGCCUGUAUAACCACGCGGCCACGCGACUUCUGUAGUCUGAUCAGUUCUGAUUCUGCUGCUGCAACUGAUCUGUUCUGCUGCUCAUUCCUUUGUCCAUUCAUGCUUAGUCUCCUUGCUCCACUUGAUCCUCAUGCCAUGCAUCCAUUAGCCUCAUGCCCUCUAACAUCACCAAAUCAUGCCAUAUCCUGCACUUUUGCAUCAAAGGAGUUUUAAGUAAAUGUAAUGCAAAAUAACAUGAAAUACAACUAAAAACACACUAAAAUGUACUUAAGAUGGGC
rnacentral:lncRNA from 1 species